AGAGUUUGAUCCUGGCUCAGAUUGAACGCUGGCGGCAUGCUUUACACAUGCAAGUCGAACGGCAGCACGGGUGCUUGCACCUGGUGGCGAGUGGCGGACGGGUGAGUAAUACAUCGGAACGUGUCCUGAAGUGGGGGAUAACGCAUCGAAAGAUGUGCUAAUACCGCAUAUACUCUGAGGAGGAAAGUAGGGGAUCGAAAGACCUUAUGCUUUUGGAGCGGCCGAUGUCUGAUUAGCUAGUUGGUAAGGUAAUGGCUUACCAAGGCAACGAUCAGUAGUUGGUCUGAGAGGACGGCCAGCCACACUGGGACUGAGACACGGCCCAGACUCCUACGGGAGGCAGCAGUGGGGAAUUUUGGACAAUGGGCGCAAGCCUGAUCCAGUAAUGCCGCGUGAGUGAAGAAGGCCUUCGGGUUGUAAAGCUCUUUCAGUCGAGAAGAAAAGGUUGUGACUAAUAAUCAUAACUCAUGACGGUAUCGACAGAAGAAGCACCGGCUAACUACGUGCCAGCAGCCGCGGUAAUACGUAGGGUGCGAGCGUUAAUCGGAAUUACUGGGCGUAAAGGGUGCGCA
rnacentral:rRNA from 1 species